GGCUUCCCUGAGCAAUGAAUAAAUCACAAACUUUUCUUUCACGUUCUUUGGAUUUGUUUCAGUUCAGACUUCAUCUUGAUAGACUCACGAUAAGUGAAACAUCUGUGGCAUUUAAUUGCAGCUUUUGCAGUCUACGGUUCUCCUCCCCUAAUAAGCAAGAGCAUAUGUCGGACCAGGAAUGUAGACACUCUGAAGUAUCUAUGCUAUAAUUGUAUUGUGGAUGAUGCUGUUACCUCAUAUUUGCAUGGUGGGUUCAUGUCACGUGGAACAAUUUAUUCUGCAAGCUAAAAGUCGUCCAUUUAUCUGUGUGUUG
rnacentral:lncRNA from 1 species